UGACAAAAGUCAGCAUUCAUUCAUGAUAGUUAUUCUCAGCAAAAUAGGAAUUGGAAAUUUCCUCAAGCUGAUAAAGGGCAUCUAAAAAAAUGAAAACAAAAAACAACCCUACAGCUAAUAUUAUACCUAAUGCUGAAAGACUGAAUGUUUUCUCCUAAUAUUAGGAGAUAAGAAUAUCCUCUCAUACCACUCCUGUUCAACAUUUUACUGAAAGGCCUAGCCAGUGCAAUAAGGCAAUAAAAAGAAAUAUAGAACAUACAGAUUGGAAAUGAAAAAAAUGAAAUAGUCCCUACUCACUGACAAUAGGAUUGUUUAUGUAAAAAAAAAAAAAAAUCCCAAACCAUCACCAAAAAACCCGACCUAAUUAAUAUGUGAAUUCUUAAUCAUGACAUGUUAUGAAUGUCCAGUUUUCCAUGUGUGUGUGUUUGUGUGUGUGUUUGUGUUUGUGUGUGUAUUUAUGGAGUUAUCAUUCUUGCUUUCUGACUAUCCAGCAUUCAAACAUUAUCAGUAUUGGAGGAGAAUCUCAAAAUAUAUGUCUUUACCAGCAAGCUAAAGGGACCAGAUAGAUAUUUCUUCUCUCUAUUUCAUGGGAGGUAUAACUAUAUGACUGAGUCUUGACCGAUCAGGUGCUCCCAUGCUGGGCUCAAAUUUCAAGGAAGUAAUGAAAUUAUACAGGUGGCUGUUGGAGAUUUCUCAUGAGGACAGCUGAAUCAGGAGUCCCUCAAUGCAGAGGUUUGUGUCCGGGGAUGGUGGGAUUUUGUUUAUAACACUACCAGGCUGGACCAUGAUAUGAGCUGGCUGUGUUCUUGGUUGCCUCACCACCCUUUGUUCCUGCCCUGUUGCCGACCCUAGUUCACCAGCCUUAUUGUUGAGUCUAUAAGCUACCUUCUAAUAAGGCUAUUUUCUACCUGAUAUCCAGAGUUUAUUCCUUCUGUUGUUAUCAACAAUGUGUGUGUGUGUGUGCAUGCGCGCAUGUGUGUGUGUGUGUAUGUAUUAAAAAAU
rnacentral:lncRNA from 1 species